UAUACACUCUAAAAACGGCUGGGUUGUUUUUUAACCCAAAAUGCUGGGUUGAGUCUGUUGGGUCAUUUUGUUGGGUUAUUUUAUUACUUUUUAAACACUUUUGGGUAGUUUCGAUUUACCAGGUGUUGAGUUAAACCUGCUGGGUUGUAACGCUGGGUUGUUUCAGGCCAGCGCUGGGUUAUUUAACGCGCCUUGACGAUGUUUAAAUCGCACCGGUAACUGUCAUUUUGGAAGGACAAAGGGGCGAAGCCACUGGUUUCAACUGUUUUAAGUCAGAAAAGCACAUGGAUGCAUUCGUGAGGGGAAAACUCGUCGAGUGGCAGUUACCCAGUCUUAUCGAGACAUUUAACGAUGAAGAAAUUGAUGAGGAAGGUUUCAUGCUACUCGAUGACCGUACAAUCACAAGCCUCAUACCAAAAAUCGGACUUCGUGUCAAGUUCCUAAAGUACCACGAAGAGCUAAUAAAGAAACAUGGGAAUAUUAAAGAGAUUCUCAUGGCCUCCCAUGAGGGGAGAUGGAUUUCAGCAGCUUUAGAGAAGGAAAAAAGCAUCACAAUUAAACAGAGACGUGCACUGGUGCGAAUCCUGGUGGCCUUUUUAAUUGAAAAGUUUGGCGAAAUGCCAACUUCUGACACCAAGAAGGCUAUGGCAAUGGCGUUAAUUGAAGAGUUUCCCUGCCUUAAAGACAUCAGAGGCAAUGGCUAUGAGGCAUUUUACACACCAGGCCGGAACCACCGUCCAGCCACAGGCUUCAUUGAGGAGCGCUUACGAAACAUCAGAAAGAGAAUGAGAAAACUUUCCAGACCUCAAAGACAUGAAGAGGACACAUCACAUAGGAUGGUAAUCCCUGAACCUACUAUUCCAACGGAGAGAGCCCAAAGUCUUGUGAACUGGCUGAAAAAUAACCAUGCACCUAUUAACCAAGUGGUAGAAAAUAUGAAGGAGACAGCCUUAUAUCGGGCUAAGUGGAUCCGACAGAAUGGGACAAAGAGCAUCACAGAGGUUCUCCAUGAGUUCCCGCAUCUCUUGAACACACCUGGCAUGAUUUCCCAAGACUUUGAUCAGGUCCAUGGAGAAACUGGACUGAAGCUUUUUGAAUCGUGGGCCAAUUUCUUUGCUGACAGAAUUCUAAGGAUUGCGAUUAAGGAAGAAAAACUGAAUAAGACUUGGGAGAACAUUCCACAAG
ensembl:lncRNA